rnacentral:rRNA from 1 species
CCCUUAGAUGUUCUGGGCCGCACGCGUGCUACACUGAGUGGAUCAGCGGGUCAGGUUGCGCGAAAGUGUUUCCUAAUCUUUAAAUCCGCUCGUGAUGGGGAUUGACGGUUGCAAUUUUCCGUCAUGAACGAGGAAUACCUUGUAAGCGCGGGUCAUCAUCCCGCGCUGAAUACGUCCCUGCCCUUUGUACACACCGCCCGUCGCUCCUACCGAUUGAGUGGUCCGGUGAGGCUUUGGGAUCUGAGCGGAAAGAGCGUUUCGCUGUUUCUGCCCGGAAAACUCAGUCGAACCUUAUCAUUUAGAGGAAGGAGAAAUCGUAACA